rnacentral:rRNA from 1 species
UACGUAGGGUGCAAGCGUUGUCCGGAAUUAUUGGGCGUAAAGAGCUCGUAGGCGGCUCGUCGCGUCGGCUGUGAAAACCCGGAGCUCAACUCCGGGCCUGCAGUCGAUACGGGCGGACUUGAGUGUUGCAGGGGAGACUGGAAUUCCUGGUGUAGCGGUGAAAUGCGCAGAUAUCAGGAGGAACACCAGUGGCGAAGGCGGGUCUCUGGGCAACUACUGACGCUGAGGAGCGAAAGCGUGGGGAGCGAACAGG